rnacentral:rRNA from 1 species
UGAACGCUAGCGGCAGGCUUAACACAUGCAAGUCGAGGGGUAGCAGGAUUUAGUUUACUAGAUUGCUGACGACCGGCGCACGGGUGAGUAACGCGUAUACAAUUUACCUUUUACAGGAGGAUAGCCCAGAGAAAUUUGGAUUAAUACUCCAUGGCAUUACGAGAUCGCAUGGUUUUGUAAUUAAAGCUUCGGUGGUAGAAGAUGAGUAUGCGUCCUAUUAGCUAGAUGGUGAGGUAACGGCUCACCAUGGCAACGAUAGGUAGGGGUCCUGAGAGGGAGAUCCCCCACACUGGUACUGAGACACGGACCAGACUCCUACGGGAGGCAGCAGUGAGGAAUAUUGGGCAAUGGAGGCAACUCUGACCCAGCCAUGCCGCGUGCAGGAAGACUGCCCUAUGGGUUGUAAACUGCUUUUAUACAGGAAGAAACUUAUCCACGUGUGGAUAACUGACGGUACUGUACGAAUAAGGACCGGCUAACUCC